AUUCUGGGCUCUCCUCUCCCUGGCGUUUCCCUUACUGUGGCCGUUUGGCUAGAGUGAGGCUGGUGGCAUCGGCUUUGUGGCAGAGUUCCAGGUGUGCGAAUGCAAGCUGUUGCAUUGAGACUUGGCACUUUGUUGGAGUAACCAUAUAGCUUUGCGUUUGGUCUUCAUUCAACCUUAAACGGGAAAUGGAAAAUCACAAUCUCAAAGCUCAUCCCGUGCUGAAGACCCUACACGUGACACUGCUGCUGUUUUGCUUAUGGACAUUUUCAUUUCCUUUUUUUGUAGUUUAUUUCUUUAACAGUGUUAAUUUGCUGUUGUCUACUUCUACAAUUGUUUGUUUUCUGGUUUGGUACAAUGCAUUAUACUGGGGAAAAUUAGGAGGCCUGAGUACUAAAGUGACCACGUCCAGUGUUUUGUAAAAAGUAAUUUGUAUUUGUUUUUUUUAUUCACUAUAGUUUGUAACUUUUGGAUAAUGGGUUUAUUCUCUUCUCCAGGAGCCAGUGAGGACUUUGUGUGGAGCAGGGGAGGCUAGCCGCUCUUCUUUGUGUGCUUCACAGGGUGCCUUGUGUGUUUUUGUAAUCUUUCUACAGGUUGUGAGUGCUGUGGUUGACUUGGUGUGAAUCUAGGUGGGUUUAGAUGAUCCGCGGAGAUGCAGCCAGCCUUCCCUGUUCCCACUAAGCUUGACCUUGUGGGUAUGUGUCGGAAGAGAGCAUUUUAGUAUUCUUAUAAUAAAGUGUUAUUUAUUUUUUUUGUAUUGUUACUCAUGUCUCACUUAAUUCCCUGCCCUCAAUUGGUAAGACGUACGUGUGUGUGUCCUUAUUGGGAGUAUUUCCCUGGCCCCCCACCAGGGUGGCAUAGUCGGAUGAAACUAGUUGUGACUUAGUAAAAUUUAAGAUCUGUAAUAUCCGCCACACUAAGAAAAGUCAAAUCAACAUAUCUUGGCCUCACUCAUAUGAUAACUAGUGGGUUUCAGGUUAAAAUAUAAGGUUCUGUUAUAUGUGUUCAAGGCAGUGCAUGGAAUGACUUCUGCUUAUGUGUCUGAGUUGAUUACUUUCUGACCAUCAUCUAGGUCUUUAAGAUUAACAAAUAAGUUGUUUCAUACUGUCCCACAAACUAAUUUAAAGCUGAAAGGUGAUCAGGCCUUUGCUGUUGCAAGGUCCAAAGCUUUGGAAUAGCCUACCAUCUGAGACUAGAGAGAUUACAUCCAUAAAUGUUUUCACAGCUGGGGUUAAAAAUUAUUUCUUGUCAUUAGCUUUCAAGGAGUUGGGCUAGUAUCUGUGUUUUUAUUUGGAUUGUUUUAUGUAUUGUAUGUUGAUUGUACAACACUUUGGUCUGCAGGUGCAGUUGUAAACUGCUUUAUAAAUAAAAUUAAUGAAUGUUA